rnacentral:rRNA from 1 species
AUGCAGUCGAACGCUUCUUUUUCCCCGGAGCUUGCUCCCCGGAAAAAGAGGAGUGGCGAACGGGUGAGUAACACGUGGGUAACCUGCCCAUCAGAAGGGGAUAACACUUGGAAACAGGUGCUAAUACCGUAUAACAAUCGAAACCGCAUGGUUUUGAUUUGAAAGGCGCUUUCGGGUGUCGCUGAUGGAUGGACCCGCGGUGCAUUAGCUAGUUGGUGAGGUAACGGCUCACCAAGGCCACGAUGCAUAGCCGACCUGAGAGGGUGAUCGGCCACAUUGGGACUGAGACACGGCCCAAACUCCCACGGGAGGCAGCAGUAGGGAAUCUUCGGCAAUGGACGAAAGUCUGACCGAGCAACGCCGCGUGAGUGAAGAAGGUUUUCGGAUCGUAAAACUCUGUUGUUAGAGAAGAACAAGGAUGAGAGUAACUGUUCAUCCCUUGACGGUAUCUAACCAGAAAGCCACGGCUAACUACGUGCCAGCAGCCGCGGUAAUACGUAGGUGGCAAGCGUUGUCCGGAUUUAUUGGGCGUAAAGCGAGCGCAGGCGGUUUCUUAAGUCUGAUGUGAAAGCCCCCGGCUCAACCGGGGAGGGUCAUUGGAAACUGGGAGACUUGAGUGCAGAAGAGGAGAGUGGAAUUCCUGUGUAGCGGUGAAUGCGUAGAUAUAUGGAGGAACCCAGUGGCGAAGCGGCUCUCUGUCUGAACUGACCUGA